UGGGGAAUAUUGGACAAUGGGCGCAAGCCUGAUCCAGCCAUGCCGCGUGAGUGACGAAGGUCUUCGGAUUGUAAAACUCUUUUGGCGGGGACGAUAAUGACGGUACCCGCAGAAUAAGCCCCGGCUAACUUCGUGCCAGCAGCCGCGGUAAUACGAAGGGGGCUAGCGUUGUUCGGAAUCACUGGGCGUAAAGCGCACGUAGGCGGAUGUGCCAGUCAGGGGUGAAAUCCCGGAGCUCAACUCCGGAACUGCCUCUGAUACUGCACGUCUUGAGUUCGAGAGAGGUGGGUGGAAUUCCUAGUGUAGAGGUGAAAUUCGUAGAUAUUAGGAAGAACACCGGUGGCGAAGGCGGCCCACUGGCUCGAUACUGACGCUGAGGCUCGAAAGCGUGGGGAGCAAACAGGAUUAGAUACCCAAGUAGUCCCUGAGCGGGCUGGCAAGGCGCAU
rnacentral:rRNA from 1 species